rnacentral:tRNA from 1 species
GCGUCCAUUGUCUAAUGGAUAGGACAGAGGUUUUCUAAACCUUUGGUAUAGGUUCAAGUCCUAUUGGACGCA